rnacentral:rRNA from 1 species
UGGGAGCUUGCUCCCUGAUGUUAGCGGCGGACGGGUGAGUAACACGUGGGUAACCUGCCUGUAAGACUGGGAUAACUCCGGGAAACCGGGGCUAAUACCGGAUGGUUGUUUGAACCGCAUGGUUCAGACAUAAAAGGUGGCUUCGGCUACCACUUACAGAUGGACCCGCGGCGCAUUAGCUAGUUGGUGAGGUAACGGCUCACCAAGGCGACGAUGCGUAGCCGACCUGAGAGGGUGAUCGGCCACACUGGGACUGAGACACGGCCCAGACUCCUACGGGAGGCAGCAGUAGGGAAUCUUCCGCAAUGGACGAAAGUCUGACGGAGCAACGCCGCGUGAGUGAUGAAGGUUUUCGGAUCGUAAAGCUCUGUUGUUAGGGAAGAACAAGUGCCGUUCAAAUAGGGCGGCACCUUGACGGUACCUAACCAGAAAGCCACGGCUAACUACGUGCCAGCAGCCGCGGUAAUACGUAGGUGGCAAGCGUUGUCCGGAAUUAUUGGGCGUAAAGGGCUCGCAGGCGGUUUCUUAAGUCUGAUGUGAAAGCCCCCGGCUCAACCGGGGGAGGGUCAUUGGAAACUGGGGAACUUGAGUGCAGAAGAGGAGAGUGGAAUUCCACGUGUAGCGGUGAAAUGCGUAGAGAUGUGGAGGAACACCAGUGGCGAAGGCGACUCUCUGGUCUGUAACUGACGCUGAGGAGCGAAAGCGUGGGGAGCGAACACGAUUAGAUACGCUGGUAGUCCACGCCGUAAACGAUGAGUGC